rnacentral:lncRNA from 1 species
CCCAUGCCCUCUCUCUCUAGAUGUCCUCUCUCUUAGAUCUUGGAGAGAGGUGGGCGGCAACAUCUUGUUGGUGUCAAGGAUUGGCACCAUAAAGUUGUUGGAGUUCUUCUUCUUCCUCUCAAGUUUGUUAGGAGGUUGUACAACUACUUCUUGAUUAGUUCUUGAUUAGUUGAGAGAUCAAGAAGGAUUCUUGAAUUUUUCAAGAAUCAAGAAAAAAAGAUCAAAUAAGGAUUGGUUCAUUCAAGAAUUAAGAAAAAAAGAUCAAAGGUUAAUCUCUAUCC